rnacentral:pre_miRNA from 1 species
AUACUGGACAAUCUGUCUUUAAGUAGAGAUAAAUUACUCUUGAACAAAAUGGUCCUAGAUAGUUUUCACUUAAAUUGAUGAUUCUUGU